rnacentral:lncRNA from 1 species
CGACAAAACGCUGCAGAGCCCUCCUGGGAGGAGCAAGCUUCGCCCAGAUUGGAGUAUACUCUACACACUCAACGAAAAACAUAGAGUCUUCAUCCAAAACUCACUUGCGUAGCCGAGGGAAGAAAAGAGGAAGUGAUGCUACGCUCCUAGCCGGAAGGAUAUCCCAUUGAGUGACUAGCAUAGUCCCUCAAGCGAAAUAGAACUGCGGAACAGCAAUGCCCGACAGGCAGGGGCGAAGGACAUUGGGAAAUCACGCUUAGAACGAGCAGUAUGGCUGGUGGCAUUGUCGUGCUGGAGGGUCAUGUCAGGAUGAGCCUGCAGGAAGGGUACCACAUGAGGGAGGAGGAUGUCUUCCCUGUAACGCACAGCGUUGAGAUUGCCUGCAAUGACAACAAGCUCAGUCCGAUGGUGUUGUGACACACCGCCCCAAGACCAUGACGGAC